UAAGGAAGUUGACAUUAAAUUUACUUACGUUGCAAAAGUACUUAUGCAGAAUCCAUGAACACUGGUUAGAGUAACUGAACAUUAUAUAACUGACAUAUUGUUGAAAAACUUUGCUAAACCUAAAAUCAGAUCUGAUCAACUUAGAUAAAUUCUUAUAGUUUUCAUUUAUGAGGCUUCAGCCUGUAUGUUGAGAAAAGUGCAUUUUGACUUUAAAAUUGAGUUAUCUUUCCUUUUUAUCCAGGAUUAUUUGGAAGUGAUCAGUGCUUUAUCAGUUUGACAAGCCAUCGUAUUUUGGUUUGCCAAAUAAUAUAUAGCGCUCAGCGUUCCUGAUUUUUUAAUAAACGACAUUGUGUCUGAAAUCAUUAGUCCUCCACCUAUGAUUCUUGUGGGGAAGUUGGCAGUUACUUGCAAGAAAACAGGUACAUGUAUAUACUCUGGUAACAGAUUUGCAGUAUCAGUCAGUAUCCUAAGAACCCACAGACAUUCUAGAUAUAGGACCAACACAAUCAAACAAGCUGGCAAGAUUUUACAUUCAAGAGUGGCGACAUUCUGCCCAAGAUUGAAGUCUGGAGAUACCAUUGGCCAAUCUUAGAAUCUUUUUUUAGAUUUAAGUUUAAAAAUGACAGACUUAAGACUACAUGUAUAAUGUUUUCAGUCAAAGGCUUUUCUCUGCUUUUGUUUUUUUAUCAACAUAUUAAGAUCUGGAAAAAAGUCAAUAUGACAAAAUAAAAGAAAGAAAAAGAUUUUUU